AAGACUCUCGGCAACGGAUAUCUCGGCUCUUGCAUCGAUGAAGAACGUAGCGAAAUGCGAUACUUGGUGUGAAUUGCAGAAUCCCGUGAACCAUCGAGUCUUUGAACGCAGGUUGCGCCCGAAGCCAUUAGGCUAAGGGCACGCCUGCCUGGGUGUUGCACAU
rnacentral:rRNA from 1 species